rnacentral:rRNA from 1 species
AGAGUUUGAUCAUGGCUCAGAUUGAACGCUGGCGGCAGGCCUAACACAUGCAAGUCGAACGGUAACAGGAAACAGCUUGCUGUUUCGCUGACGAGUGGCGGACGGGUGCGUAAUGUCUGGGAAGCUGCCUGAUGGAGGGGGAUAACUACUGGAAACGGUAGCUAAUACCGCAUAACGUCGCAAGACCAAAGAGGGGGACCUUCGGGCCUCUUGCCAUCGGAUGUGCCCAGAUGGGAUUAGCUAGUAGGUGGGGUAACGGCUCACCUAGGCGACGAUCCCUAGCUGGUCUGAGAGGAUGACCAGCCACACUGGAACUGAGACACGGUCCAGACUCCUACGGGAGGCAGCAGUGGGGAAUAUUGCACAAUGGCCGCAACCUGAUGCAGCCAUGCCGCGUGUAUGAAGAAGCCUUCGGGUUGUAAAGUACUUUCAGCGGGGAGGAAGGGAGUAAAGUUAAUACCUUUGCUCAUUGACGUUACCCGCAGAAGAAGCACCGGCUAACUCCGUGCCAGCAGCCGCGGUAAUACGGAGGGUGCAAGCGUUAAUCGGAAUUACUUGGCGUAAAGCGCACGCAGGCGGUUUGUUAAGUCAGAUGUGAAAUCCCGGGCUCAACCUGGGAACUGCAUCUGAUACUGGCAAGCUUGAUCUCGUAGAGGGGGGUAGAAUUCAGGUGUAGCGGUGAAAUGCGUAGAGAUCUGGAGGAAUACCGGUGGCGAAGGCGGCCCCUGGACCGAAGACUGACGCUCAGGUGCGAAAGCGUGGGGGAGCAAACAGGAUUAGAUACCCUGGUAGUCCACGCCGUAAACGAUGUCGACUUGGAGGUUGUGCCCUUGAGGCGUGGCUUCCGGAGCUAACGCGUUAAGUCGACCGCCUGGGGAGUACGGCCGCAAGGUUAAAACUCAAAUGAAUUGACGGGGGCCCGCACAAGCGGUGGAGCAUGUGGUUUAAUUCGAUGCAACGCGAAGAACCUUACCUGGUCUUGACAUCCACAGAACUUUCCAGAGAUGGAUUGGUGCCUUCGGGAACUGUGAGACAGGUGCUGCAUGGCUGUCGUCAGCUCGUGUUGUGAAAUGUUGGGUUAAGUCCCGCAACGAGCGCAACCCUUAUCCUUUGUUGCCAGCGGUCCGGCCGGGAACUCAAAGGAGACUGCCAGUGAUAAACUGGAGGAAGGUGGGGAUGACGUCAAGUCAUCAUGGCCCUUACGACCAGGGCUACACACGUGCUACAAUGGCGCAUACAAAGAGAAGCGACCUCGCGAGAGCAAGCGGACCUCAUAAAGUGCGUCGUAGUCCGGAUUGGAGUCUGCAACUCGACUCCAUGAAGUCGGAAUCGCUAGUAAUCGUGGAUCAGAAUGCCACGGUGAAUACGUUCCCGGGCCUUGUACACACCGCCCGUCACACCAUGGGAGUGGGUUGCAAAAGAAGUAGGUAGCUUAACCUUCGGGAGGGCGCUUACCACUUUGUGAUUCAUGACUGGGGUGAAGUCGUAACAAGGUAACCGUAGGGGAACCUGCGGUUGGAUCACCU